rnacentral:rRNA from 1 species
AACUUUCAGCAACGGAUCUCUUGGUUCUCGCAUCGAUGAAGAACGCAGCGAAAUGCGAUAAGUAAUGURAAUUGCAGAAUUCAGUGAAUCAUAGAAUCUUUGARCGCUCCUUGCGMUCMWUGGUAUUCCGARGAGCAUGCCUGAGUGAGUGUCAUU